rnacentral:rRNA from 1 species
AGCGAACGCUGGCGGCAGGCCUAAUACAUGCAAGUCGAACGAAGCCUUCGGGCUCAGUGGCGGACGGGUGAGUAACACGUGGGAACGUACCCUUUGGUUCGGAACAACUCAGGGAAACUUGAGCUAAUACCGAAUGUGCCCCCAUCCUUAACAAGAUGGGUGGGAAAGAUUUAUCGCCAUUGGAGCGGCCCGCGUCUGAUUAGCUAGUUGGUGAGGUAAAGGCCCACCAAGGCUACGAUCAGUAGCUGGUCUGAGAGGAUGAUCAGCCACACUGGGACUGAGACACGGCCCAGACUCCUAC